rnacentral:rRNA from 1 species
GCUUAUGGCCACACCGCCUGGUUCACGCCUGAUGUUUGAUCUCGGAAGCUAAGAUACGGUGGGCCAGGUUAGUACUUGGAUGGGAGACCCCCUGGGAAUACCAGGUGCUGUAAGCU